rnacentral:rRNA from 1 species
UUAAAAAGCUCGUAGUUGAAUUUCUAGGUGUAAAAGGCGGUCCUGCCUUCAGGGUUGUGUACCUCCCUUUUACGCCUAUCCUCGUAGUGAACAUGUAUUCUUUUUAUUAAGCGUAUAUGGGACCUGCGUCAUUUACUGUGAGCAAAAUAGAGUGUUCAAAGCAGGCUUUAUGCCGUUGAAUAUAUUAGCAUGGAAUAAUAAGAUAUGACUUCUGUCUUUCUUGUUGGUUUGUAUUCGGAAGUAAUGAUUAAUAGGGAUAGUUGGGGGUAUUCGUUAUUCAAUUGUCAGAGGUGAAA